GAUGAACGCUAGCUACAGGCUUAACACAUGCAAGUCGAGGGGUAACGAUAGGAAAGCUUGCUUUCCUUGUCGACGACCGGCGCACGGGUGAGUAACGCGUAUCCAACCUGCCCCCAACUAAGGAAUAACCUUGCGAAAGUAAGACUAAUACCUUAUAAUUUCCUCAGAUGUCAUCUGACGAGGAAUAAAGAUUUAUCGGUUGUGGAUGGGGAUGCGUCUGAUUAGCUUGUUGGCGGGGUAACGGCCCACCAAGUCAACGAUCAGUAGGGGUUCUGAGAGGAAGGUCCCCCACAUGGGAACUGAGACACGGGCCAAACUCCUACGGGAGGCAGCAGUGAGGAAUCUUGGUCAAUGGGCGAAAGCCUGAACCAGCCAAGUAGCGUGCAGGAUGACGGCCCUAUGGGUUGUAAACUGCUUUUAUACAGGUAUAAAGUUAGCCACGUGUGGUUAUUUGUAGGUACUGUAUGAAUAAGGACCGGUUAAUUCCGUGCCAGCCGCCGCCGUAA
rnacentral:rRNA from 1 species